AACGAACGCUGGCGGCAGGCCUAACACAUGCAAGUCGAGCGAGACCUUCGGGUCUAGGGGCGGAGGGGUGAGUAACGCGUGGGAACGUGCCCUUUUCUACGGAAUAGUCUCGGGAAACUGAGCGUAAUACCGUAUAGGCCCUUUGGGGGAAAGAGUUAUCGGAGAAGGAUCGGCCCGCGUUGGUUUAGGUAGUUGGUGUGGGAAUGGCCUACCAAGACUACGAUCCAUAGCUGGUGGGAGAGGAGGAUCAGCCACACUGGGACUGAGACACGGCCCAGACUCCUGCGGGAAGUAGCAGUGGGAGUCUUAGGCAAUGGGGGCAACUCCGACCUAGCCAUGCGGCGUGAGUGAUGCAGGCCUUAGGGUUCUAAAUCCCUUUCAGCUGGGAAGAUAAUGACGGUACCAGCAGAAGAAGCCCCGGCUAACUCCGUG
rnacentral:rRNA from 1 species